rnacentral:rRNA from 1 species
CCUAUUAGCGGGGGAUAACUAUUGGAAACGAUAGCUAAUACCGCAUAAUAUUAAUUAUUGCAUGAUAAUUGAUUGAAAGAUGCAAGCGCAUCACUAGUAGAUGGACCUGCGUUGUAUUAGCUAGUUGGUAAGGUAAGAGCUUAUCAAGGCGACGAUACAUAGCCGACCUGAGAGGGUGAUCGGCCACACUGGGACUGAGACACGGCCCAGAUCCUACGGGAGGCAGCAGUAGGGAAUCUUCGGCAAUGGACGAAAGUCUGACCGAGCAACGCCGCGUGAGUGAAGAAGGUUUUCGGAUAGUAAAGCUCUGU